rnacentral:rRNA from 1 species
AAAAUAGAUACCCCGGGUAGUCCACGCCGUAAACGAUGAGUGCUAGGUGUUGGGGGGUUCCACCCUCAGUGCUGAAGUUAACACAUUAAGCACUCCGCCUGGGGAGUACGACCGCAAGGUUGAAACUCAAAGGAAUUGACGGGGGCCCGCACAAGCAGUGGAGCAUGUGGUUUAAUUCGAAGCAACGCGAAGAACCUUACCAGGUCUUGACAUCCUUUGACCACUCUAGAGAUAGAGCUUUCCCCUUCGGGGGACAAAGUGACAGGUGGUGCAUGGUUGUCGUCAGCUCGUGUCGUGAGAUGUUGGGUUAAGUCCCGCAACGAGCGCAACCCUUGACCUUAGUUGCCAGCAUUCAGUUGGGCACUCUAAGGUGACUGCCGGUGACAAACCGGAGGAAGGUGGGGACGACGUCAAAUCAUCAUGCCCCUUAUGACCUGGGCUACACACGUGCUACAAUGGAUGAUACAAAGGGUUGCGAAGCCGCGAGGCCAAGCCAAUCCCAAAAAGUCAUUCUCAGUUCGGAUUGUAGGCUGCAACUCGCCUA